rfam:Ipomoea nil DNA, scaffold: scaffold2742, cultivar: Tokyo-kokei standard.
GGAUGCGAUCAUACCAGCAUUAAUGCACCGGAUCCCAUCAGAACUCCGAAGUUAAGCAUGCUUGGGCGAGAGUAGUACUAGGAUGGGUGACCCCCUGGGAAGUCCUCGUGGUUGCAUCCC